UACGGGGGGUGCAAGCGUUAAUCGGAAUCACUGGGCUUAAAGGGCGCGUAGGCGGUCCGACAAGUCAGGGGUGAAAUCCUGCAGCUUAACUGCAGAAGUGCCUUUGAUACUGUCGGUCUUGAGGGAGAUAGGGGUGUGCGGAACUCACAGUGGAGCGGUGAAAUGCGUUGAUAUUGUGAGGAACGCCGGAGGCGAAAGCGGCGCACUGGAUCUCUUCUGACGCUGAGGCGCGAAAGCUAGGGGAGCAAACGGG
rnacentral:rRNA from 1 species